rnacentral:rRNA from 1 species
GAUGAACGCUGGCGGCGUGCUUAACACAUGCAAGUCGAACGAAGCAUUUAAGACAGAUUACUUCGGUUUGAAGUCUUUUAUGACUGAGUGGCGGAUGGGUGAGUAACGCGUGGGUAACCUGCCUCAUACAGGGGGAUAGCAGCUGGAGACGGCUGGUAAUACCGCAUAAGCGCACGGUAUCGCAUGAUACAGUGUGAAAAACUCCGGUGGUAUAAGAUGGACCCGCGUCUGAUUAGCUGGUUGGUGAGGUAACGGCCCACCAAGGCGACGAUCAGUAGCCGGCCUGAGAGGGUGAACGGCCACAUUGGGACUGAGACACGGCCCAAACUCCUACGGGAGGCAGCAGUGGGGGAAUAUUGCACAAUGGGGGAAACCCUGAUGCAGCGACGCCGCGUGAGUGAUGAAGUAUUUCGGUAUGUAAAACUCUAUCAGCAGGGAAGAUAAUGACGGUACCUGACUAAGAAGCACCGGCUAAAUACGUGCCAGCAG